rnacentral:lncRNA from 1 species
GUAAGAGAGAGAGGUGCACCAGGGAUGCUGGUAGGAAAAGGAAUUCAAGUCCUACUAAUAAUACAAUAUUAAUGCUCUCACAGAUCUAAGAGAGCUCCUAAUCAACAUUUUAUUUUCAUUUUGGGGGUAUUUGAGGCCCUAAAAGGGAAAAUGAAGAGCUAUUUGAAGUCUUGGCCAAUAACUUCAAUGAUCCAUUCUCUUCAAUCAGAACCAGUGCUUGGCCACUAGAGAAAAAGUACAUACAGUUACAAAUUGAUGGUCAAGUUGCCAACUGCCAUUUAUUGGGAAGUAUCAAUAUGGUACUUCUGUCUCUGAGCUCACCAUACUGGCUACUGGCACCAUUGAGCUCAUGAGUCAAGUUAUGGUUCUACCUGACUAGUUAUUUCACUGUUUUCUGAACAUUUUCCUCAUCCUUCGCUCUCUCACGGAAUAAUUUUCCUUGCUUCCAGUCUAAAAUGAAGCAAAAAUUAAGCCUCAAAGAAACUGUUUACCUCUGUGAGACAGUGUAGUGAAUUCUUAUAAUUUUAAGUUGCCUCAGCAUCCAUUUUGAAUACAAGUUUAAGUUUCUCAUACCAAGAGCAGCAAUCAAUUGCCCUUGACACAGUUUCAAGUUCCACAUGACACACAAAUGGCUCAAGCUAGUGGCCAGAGAUAAAACUUAGAGGCAUCCCUCCUUCCUAGCAGGCUAGACCCCUCGCUUUCUGCACCUCCUGUAAAUAGACUUUUAGGCAUUUGCCUGCAUACUUAAAGUGACCCACACCCUAUUUCCUUAUAUAUACUGCUAGUUGUCAUGUGUUGUCUCUUUCUCUUCCUGAAUUUUCAUUUCUACCUCCCAUGACCCAUGACCUGGGGCCAGAAGACUGCCCUGCGAACUCAUUGAGCACUCCCUGCCCAGAAUCUCAGAUUCGACAGGCCUCUGUGCUGGCAGCUUCAGAAAUGCCUUUGGGCUUGUCACAUGUUGAAAACUCCCAACUGGCUGUCUGAAUUGGCAACCAUGCUUUGGCUCACUGGAGAGAAGAGAGAAAUGGUGCUUUUUGUCCAUCUACUGAUAACCUCUCAUGGCAGAUCAAAGGAACCAGGUUUUGAUGACUUACAGCUCACACAAGGUCAUCCUGGGAAAACAGAUCCUGAGAAGUACUGCAGAGCUUGUGAAGUACUGCACUGGCUGGUGUCUGGAUUCUAGAGUUUAUGAUCUGCUCCAAAGCCAGAGAGGUGAUGACUAGAAGAAAAUCCUGGAGAUCCUGGAUGUGGAGGAGCCACAUGAUGGAAGGAAUGUGGAUCCAAUCACUCUUGGAGAAGAGCCACUGACUGGAAUUGGACUGUGAGGACUGAAUUGGAGAACUGAGGAAUUACCUGAUGCCAGAAAGAGCAACUCUUAGCAUCUUACCUCAAGUCCAGACAUUGAAUCUUUGGAGAGAAUUUAUUCUGCAAAGACUAAGUAUACUUAUCCUACAGUAGCUACUCUUGUGGAGGUAAACAAUUGUGUCUUGACCUAGAAACAAAAUCUUGGUAAGAAUGCAAGAUGUCAGAGUGUUCAGAAGAGAGUGAAAUAGGAUUUAUACUGUCUUUUUCAAUGCAGCGACUUCGAUAUGACUCAAUAAACACCAGUCUCUUACCUGAUGUAUCUCCUGAUAUGAUGUCUUCCCAGUCAGAUCUAUUUCUCCUCCUCCCUUAGAAAGAGGGAAAUAAGGGGUAGAGAGCCACAGCUUAGGA